rnacentral:misc_RNA from 1 species
AACGCACGAGACCUGCGGACCUGCGGAGGGAUCAUUAUCGAGUUUACAACUCCCAAACCAUUGUGAAUCUUACCUUUUCGUUGCUUCGGCGGGAUCGCCCCGGGCGCUUCGGUGCCCCGGAUUCAGGCGCCCGCCGGGGGACCUAAACUCUUGUAUUAUAGUGGAUUUCUGAGUGGAUUACACAAAUAAUCAAAACUUUCAACAACGGAUCUCU